rnacentral:rRNA from 1 species
AGUGAACGCUGGCGGUAGGCCUAACACAUGCAAGUCGAACGGCAGCACAGGAGAGCUUGCUCUCUGGGUGGCGAGUGGCGGACGGGUGAGGAAUACAUCGGAAUCUACUUUGUCGUGGGGGAUAACGUAGGGAAACUUACGCUAAUACCGCAUACGACCUACGGGUGAAAGCAGGGGACCGUCUGGCCUUGCGCGAUUGAAUGAGCAGAUGUCGGAUUAGCUAGUUGGCGGGGGAAAGGCCCACCAAGGCGACGAUCCGUAGCUGGUCUGAGAGGAUGAUCAGCCACACUGGAACUGAGACACGGUCCAGACUCCUACGGGAGGCAGCAGUGGGGAAUAUUGGACAAUGGGCGCAAGCCUGAUCCAGCCAUACCGCGUGGGUGAAGAAGGCCUUCGGGUUGUAAAGCCCUUUUGUUGGGAGAGAAAUCCAGCUGGCUAAUACCCGGUUGGGAUGACGGUACCCAAAGAAUAAGCACCGGCUAACUUCGUGCCAGCAGCCGCGGUAA